AGCAGUCGCCGCGGUAAUACAGAGGGUGCGAGCGUUAAUCGGAUUUACUGGGCGUAAAGCGUGCGUAGGCGGCUUUUUAAGUCGGAUGUGAAAUCCCUGAGCUUAACUUAGGAAUUGCAUUCGAUACUGGGAAGCUAGAGUAUGGGAGAGGAUGGUAGAAUUCCAGGUGUAGCGGUGAAAUGCGUAGAUCUGGAGGAAUACCGAUGGCGAAGGCAGCCAUCUGGCCUAAUACUGACGCUGAGGUACGAAAGCAUGGGGAGCAAACAGGAUUAGAUACCCCAGUAGUCCCUGUCUCUUAUACAC
rnacentral:rRNA from 1 species